rnacentral:rRNA from 1 species
GGGUUGUGAGGUUAAGCGACUAAGCGUACACGGUGGAUGCCCUGGCAGUCAGAGGCGAUGAAGGACGUGCUAAUCUGCGAAAAGCGACGGCGAGGUGAUAUGAACCU